CCGCGUUGUCCCGGCCGGCUGCUUCCGAUGCCCUCAAGAAAGGUUCCGGGCAAAGUCCGACGGAUGUAGGAAAGCGGGAAAGGUCGGCUGUGGUGCACGGAUGUGGAGCGGAGCUAUAGUCCCCGAGGCGCGUGGUCGUUUGUGAUAAUUUAAGGGAAGAAUAAUAUGAUCGGAUUGAUGUUUGAGAAGGAAAACGAGGAUAUUGUGGAGUAGGAUUGAUUCGCGAAGUGGAAAGCAGGUAGGAGGUCACUGCAGUGAUCCUGUGGAGAGACGAGGAAGACCCGACUCAAAGCCAGGAAAGAGGGAAAGAGGAAGGCAAUGCGUUCAAGAGAGGGGUAGGAGACAGAACUGACAAUGGAAAGGUCUUUUGUAUUUGGAAAGCGAAGAAGGUCAGGAGUCUGACAUGACUUCUGUGUUUCUAGUUGGGGGGGCAGGGGGUGCUCCGUUUGACAGAGCAGACAAUGCAGGAAAAGGAACAGCUUUGGCCAAGAUAGAUGGGGAGUCCAGACUGGGACAUGUUAGGCCUGUGAGGAAUUCAAGUGACCAUACUGAGUUGGAGUUCACAGAAGAGGUUUAGGCUAAAGAUGGACCACACUUCAUCAAUUCUAAUAGGCGUAUAUUAAAUGUGGCUCCCCACAUUUAAAAAUCUCUUACAUUUAAUUAUACCUCAUAAUUAUUUAGCAGUGGGGUUUUUUCUUUCUUAGUGCUACAUAAGAUAACUGUGUUUUACAAGUCACGGUUGCUUUGAUUUGAUGAAAAACAGCAUAAUUGGUGGACUCUGUUUUACAAGUGUUAGUUGGAGUGUAUUAAUAGACCAACUACAAAGGAAGGUACCCAGAUUUGUAUGUUGAAGGGGAGAAAAGGAAAUUUAACAAUUUUCCUUCUUGGCUUGAAGCAACUUUUAGCUGUCAUUCAGACUUUAUAUGAGAAAAAAAAAAUUUCUUGACUAGGUUGAACUUCCAUCUCAUUAAAUACUUUUACAGAUUCUCCCUAAAUUAAGCCAGCUGGUAUUUACGUCUCCUACAGGUAAAAAUCAGGAAUUUUCUGAGCGGAGCACCUCCCAGUCAGCAAGGAUCAAAUCACGGAAUAUGGUGAAGGCCAGAUUUUUGUAACAUUCCAAGGAUUUAACCCAGUGGUUCUCAACCUUAGCGGCACAUUGGAAUUUCUGAGGCACCUCAGAAUAAUACAGGUGCCUCAGUCCCACACCCAGAGAUUCUGCAUUAAUUGCAAAAUCUGCCUAGAGCAUUCUUAGGCAUUGAUAUAUUUAGAAGAUUCUUAGAGAUUCUCAUGUUCAGACAGGAUUGAGAACCAUUACUGUAGUAUAAGACUGGGGGUGCCCCCCAAAUUAUUGGCCUAGUCAGGGAGUGAGGACUUUCUCAGAAAAUGUACUCAACCACAAUCCAUGCUUAUUGUGAGAGAUUACAGACUUCAAAGAUAGGCAGAGCUAAGAAAGAAAACAUGAAAUAGUAACAUCAACACAGCUCUCAGUUCCCUGGAGACAAGAAGGAUCAGAAGGAAAUUUAAUUAAUUAAUUAA